UAAAACUCAAAUGAAUUGACGGGGGCCCGCACAAGCGGUGGAGCAUGUGGUUUUAAUUCGACGCAACGCGAAGAACCUUACCUGGCCUUGACAUGCAGAGAACUUUCCAGAGAUGGAUUGGUGCCUUCGGGAACUCUGACACAGGUGCUGCAUGGCCGUCGUCAGCUCGUGUCGUGAGAUGUUGGGUUAAGUCCCGUAACGAGCGCAACCCCUAUCCCUAGUUGCUAGCAGUUCGGCUGAGAACUCUAGGGAGACUGCCGGUGACAAACCGGAGGAAGGUGGGGACGACGUCAAGUCAUCAUGGCCCUUACGACCUGGGCUACACACGUGCUACAAUGGACGGUACAGAGGGUUGCCAAGCCGCGAGGUGGAGCUAAUCUCAUAAAACCGUUCGUAGUCCGGAUCGGAGUCUGCAACUCGACUCCGUGAAGUCGGAAUCGCUAGUAAUCGUGAAUCAGAAUGUCACGGUGAAUACGUUCCCGGGCCUUGUACACACCGCCCGUCACACCAUGGGAGUGGGUUGCACCAGAAGUAGCUAGUCUAACCUUCGGGGGGACGGUUACCACGGUGUGAUUCAUGACUGGGGUGAAGUCGUAACAAGGUAACCGUA
rnacentral:rRNA from 1 species